rnacentral:rRNA from 1 species
GAUGAACGCUGGCGGCGUGCCUAAUACAUGCAAGUCGAGCGAACGGACGAGAAGCUUGCUUCUCUGAUGUUAGCGGCGGACGGGUGAGUAACACGUGGAUAGCCUACCUAUAAGACUGGGAUAACUUCGGGAAACCGGAGCUAAUACCGGAUGAUAUUUUGAACCGCAUGGUUCAAAAGUGAAAGACGGUCUUGCUGUCACUUAUAGAUGGAUCCGCGCUGCAUUAGCUAGCUGGUAAGGUAACGGCUUACCAAGGCAACGAUGCAUAGCCGACCUGAGAGGGUGAUCGGCCACACUGGAACUGAGACACGGUCCAGACUCCUACGGGAGGCAGCAGUAGGGAAUCUUCCGCAAUGGGCGAAAGCCUGACGGAGCAACGCCGCGUGAGUGAUGAAGGUCUUCGGAUCGUAAAACUCUGUUAUUAGGGAAGAACAUAUGUGUAAGUAACUGUGCACAUCUUGACGGUACCUAAUCAGAAAGCCACGGCUAACUACGUG